rnacentral:rRNA from 1 species
CGCGGGAUUAGCGUUUGAUUAUGGCUCAGAUUGAACGCUGGCGGCAGGCCUAACACAUGCAAGUCGAGCGCGAAAGCACUUCGGUGUGAGUAGAGCGGCGGACGGGUGAGUAACGCGUAGGAAUCUACCUAGUAGUGGGGGACAACUCGGGGAAACUCGAGCUAAUACCGCAUAAGCCCUACGGGGGAAAGCGGGGGACCUUCGGGCCUCGUGCUAUUAGAUGAGCCUGCGUUGGAUUAGCUAGUUGGUGGGGUAAAGGCCUACCAAGGCGACGAUCCAUAGCUGGUCUGAGAGGAUGAUCAGCCACACCGGGACUGAGACACGGCCCGGACUCCUACGGGAGGCAGCAGUGGGGAAUAUUGCGCAAUGGGCGAAAGCCUGACGCAGCCAUGCCGCGUGUGUGAAGAAGGCCUUCGGGUUGUAAAGCACUUUCAAUUGGGAGGAAAGGUUCACGGUUAAUAACCGUGAGCUGUGACGUUACCUUUAGAAGAAGCACCGGCUAACUCCGUGC